GGACAGGUGGCAGAGCGGUUUAAUGCUCCGGUCUUGAAAACCGGCGAACCGGCAACGGUUCCGGGGGUUCGAAUCCCUCCCUGUCCG
rnacentral:tRNA from 1 species